rnacentral:rRNA from 1 species
UACGGAGGGAGCUAGCGUUGUUCGGAAUUACUGGGCGUAAAGCGCGCGUAGGCGGCUUUGUAAGUUAGAGGUGAAAGCCCGGGGCUCAACCCCUGAACUGCCUUUAAGACUGCAUCGCUUGAAUCCAGGAGAGGUGAGUGGAAUUCCGAGUGUAGAGGUGAAAUUCGUAGAUAUUCGGAAGAACACCAGUGGCGAAGGCGGCUCACUGGACUGGUAUUGACGCUGAUGUGCGAAAGCGUGGGGAGCAAACAGG